UACGUAGGGUCCAAGCGUUAUCCGGAAUCACUGGGCGUAAAGCGUGCGUAGGCGGACGUUUAAGUGAGAUGCGAAAUCCUGUGGCUCAACCAUAUGGACUGUAUCUCAUACUGGAUGUCUAGAGGACGGCAGAGGCAAGUGGAAUUACCGGUGUAGCAGUGAAAUGCGUAGAGAUCCGGAAGAACACCGGAGGCGAAGGCGGCUUGCUGGGCGUGAUCUGACGCUGAGGCGCGAAAGCGUGGGGAGCGAACAGG
rnacentral:rRNA from 1 species